rnacentral:rRNA from 1 species
GAUGAACGCUAGCGGCAGGCCUAACACAUGCAAGUCGAGGGGCAGCACAGAAACAGCAAUGUUUUGGUGGCGACCGGCGGACGGGUGCGUAACGCGUAUGCAACCUACCUUUAACAGGGGGGUAACGGAGAGAAAUUUCCACUAGUACCCCAUAACAUCGAUCAAGGCAUCUUGAUUGGUUGAAAACUCCGGUGGUUAAAGAUGGGCAUGCGUUGCAUUAGGUAGUUGGUGAGGUAAUGGCUCACCAAGCCUACGAUACAUAGGGGGACUGAGAGGUUAGCCCCCCACACUGGUACUGAGACACGGACCAGACUCCUACGGGAGGCAGCAGUGAGGAAUAUUGGUCAAUGGGGGCAACCCUGAACCAGCCAUGCCGCGUGCAGGAAGACGGCUCUAUGAGUUGUAAACUGCUUUUAAACAGGGAUAAAGCACAGUAUGUAUACUGUGUUGAAGGUACUGUAAGAAUAAGGAUCGGCUAACUCCGUGCCAGCCGCCGCCGUAA